GCGCCCUUAGUGUAGUGGCAACACGAUAGCUUCCCAAGCUGUAGUUGAGGGUUCGAUUCCCUUAGGGUGCU
rnacentral:tRNA from 1 species